GUGAGGAAUAUUGGACAAUGGGCGCAAGCCUGAUCCAGCCAUGCCGCGUGCAGGAAGACGCAUCUAUGGUGUGUAAACUGCUUUUGUACGGGAAGAAACACUCCCUCGUGAGGGAGCUUGACGGUACCGUAAGAAUAAGGAUCGGCUAACUCCGUGCCAGCAGCCGCGGUAAUACGGAGGAUCCAAGCGUUAUCCGGAAUCAUUGGGUUUAAAGGGUCCGUAGGCGGUUUGAUAAGUCAGUGGUGAAAGCCCAUCGCUCAACGAUGGAACGGCCAUUGAUACUGUCAGACUUGAAUUAUUAGGAAGUAACUAGAAUAUGUAGUGUAGCGGUGAAAUGCUUAGAUAUUACAUGGAAUACCAAUUGCGAAGGCAGGUUACUACUAAUGGAUUGACGCUGAUGGACGAAAGCGUGGGGAGCGAACAGGAUUAGAAACCCUAGUAGUCC
rnacentral:rRNA from 1 species